GUAUAUCUGUAAAUAAUAAAUCAAGGAACUGGACUUACUGUAGAUUUCUUGAAAACGUUUCACUCAUUCUUCCAACGAGCUUUCUCAAUUCUGAGUGACUGUACAAGAAUUCUUGGGAAUCAAAAUGUAACUGCACCAAAAUCUGG